ACAGUACAAACUGAGCAGGCAUUGGAGGAAAAAUCUUCAUAAGCCGGGCCUUUGUGGCAGCAGAUGGAAUAUAAGCAUCUGUGGGACAGU
rnacentral:ncRNA from 1 species